rnacentral:misc_RNA from 1 species
GUAAACUUUGAUCAGUGUCAAUGUUGUACCAAUCUGAUGCUUGCAUGACUAAAGUUUCAUUUGAAGGCCUUUCUUCUUGUUCCUAUAUUUCUAGUUUCUUAUGCUUGUUUGCAUUCUUGAUUGCAUGGCUGGUUUUUGUUGUUGAAUCGAGUAGAACUUAUCAAUAGCAUGGUUCUGUAGUUCUGGUAAAGCCUGAUACCUUUGACUCAAAAAGCCUCCCUUAUGAGUGAAAGAUAUCGUUUUGAGUCUUCCAUUGCCUAAAAUACUAUCAGUAUUGCAGUAUGCAUUAGAAUGCAGAUUUUGUUGUUUAGCAAUGCUUCCA